CAGUGGGGAAUAUUGGACAAAGGGCGCAAGCCUGAUCCAGCAAUGCCGCGUGUGUGAAGGAGGCCUUCGGGUUGUAAAGCACUUUUAUCAGGAUCGAAAUACUACCGGCUAAUACCCGGUGGGGCUGACGGUACCUGAGGAAUAAGCACCGACUAACUUCGUGCCAGCAGCCGCGGUAAUACGAAGGGUGCAAGCGUUAAUCGGAAUUACUGGGCGUAAAGCGUGCGUAGGCGGUUUGUUAAGUCUGCUGUGAAAUCCCCGGGCUCAACCUGGGAAUGGCAGUGGAUACUGGCAAGCUAGAGUGUGUCAGAGGAUGGUGGAAUUCCCGGUGUAGCGGUGAAAUGCGUAGAGAUCGGGAGGAACAUCAGUGGCGAAGGCGGCCAUCUGGGGCAACACUGACGCUGAGGUGCGAAAGCAUGGGGAGCGAACAGGAUUAGA
rnacentral:rRNA from 1 species